rnacentral:rRNA from 1 species
GUGUCAGCCGCCGCGGUAACACCGGCGGCUCGAGUGGUAACCGUUAUUAUUGGGUCUAAAGGGUCUGUAGCCGGCCGGAUAAGUCUCUUGGGAAAUCUGGCAGCUUAACUGUCAGGCUUUCAGGAGAUACUGUCUGGCUCGAGGCCGGGAGAGGUGAGAGGUACUUCAGGGGUAGGGGUGAAAUCUUGUAAUCCUUGAAGGACCACCAGUGGCGAAGGCGUCUCACCAGAACGGACCUGACGGCAAGGGACGAAAGCUAGGGGCACGAACCGGAUUAGAUACCCGGGUAGUCCUAGCCGUAAACGAUACUCGCUAGGUGUCGGCCACGGUGCGACCGUGGUCGGUGCCGUAGGGAAGCCGUGAAGCGAGCCACCUGGGAAGUACGGCCGCAAGGCUGAA